AUGAAUCUUUGGAUCCAUUUAGUUUUCACUGUAGCAGCGUGGGAAGGUGUCCAGUCCCAGGUGCUGCUGGUGGAGUCCAGAGGGGAUGUGAAAAAGCCCGGAUACUCUCUCCGCCUCUCCUGCAAAGCCUCCGGGUUCACCUUCAGCAGCUACGGCAUGAGCUGGGUCCGGCAGGCUCCCGGGAAGGGGCUGGAGUGGGUCUCUGAGAUUAGCACGGAUGGUAGCACCACACGCUAUGCAGACUUGGUUAAAGGACGAUUCACCAUCUCCAGGGAUAAUUCCAACAGCCUGGUGUACCUGCAAAUGACCGGCCUGAGAGCCGAGGACACCGCCCGCUAUUACUGUGCGAAAGAUGGCUGGAGGGUGUCGUCACGAAGG